AGUUACGGCCAUACCUGCCUUAGGCACGCCCGAUCUCGUCUGAUCUCGGAAGCUAAGCAGGGUCGGGCCUGGUUAGUACUUGGAUGGGUGACCGCCUGGGAAUACCAGGUGCUGUAAGCA
ensembl:rRNA 5S_rRNA 5S ribosomal RNA